rnacentral:lncRNA from 1 species
UUUUUUUUUUUAUUUUAAUUCCAGUAUAGUUGACAUACAGUGUUAUAUUAGUUUCAGGUAUAUGAUAUAGUGAUUCAGCAAUUCCAUACAUCACCCAGUGCUCAUCACAAGUGACUCCUUAAUCACCAUUACUUAUUUCACACACCCCCAAUACUUGUUCCCUUCUGGUAACCAUCAGUUUGUUCUCUAUAGUUAAGAGUCUGUUUCUUGCUUUCUCGGUCUUGCUCUCCCCAUUUUUCCCUUUGCCCAUUUGUUUUAUUUCUUAAAUUCCACAUGAGCGAGCUCCUAUGAUAUUUGUCUUUCUAUGAAUUAUUUAGCUUGGCAUUAUACUCUCUAACUUCAUCCAUUCUCCUAUAUAGAGACUCCAUACGAACUACACAUCAGAUACAAUCCUUGAUACAGGUUCCCAAGUACUAAUUUUGUAUACAUACUUUUCUGCUAAAUUCUGUGCAUUUAUCUCUUUAGACUAUUUUUCUUCUGGUAGCCAUUGGUACAACCUGUCCAACCAAGUUCAAUCUUCCAGAACAUUACCAGAUACUAGAUUAUAUGGCUGGCAUGUUUAUAGGCAAAAUCCUAGAACAUGGAGCAGGCAAAGAGAAUUUUCCUCUCCACACAUUGAAAACCAGUCUCAAGUAGAGAUAAGCAAGGCCUGUAAUUGACAAGUAAUCUUAAGAGCUCUAGAACUGAUAUGUUUACACAAUACAAACAUCCUCUGAAUUCACAAUACUUAUUCAUCCUCUAUUUUCCCAAUCAGACCACCCAUUCACCACACCCUUUGUGGAACACAAUAAAAUAUCUAAUGUCUCUUUCAGAUAAAAAAAUGGAUGAAUUUCUUGAAGCUUUAGGGAACAUGACAUAUAAUUACCCUCUCCUAUAAUUUCCUAUAUUACAACUCUGAAGUUUGGAAUGCAUAUCCCUAUAAUUACUUCUAUAUGUAAUUACAUUUACAUAAUACUUACAUGAUUUUAUUUACAUAAAGAGGUAAUGAUUCAUUUUUCAGAAACUUUUUAUAUGUCCCAAGCAGGACACAUUGGAGCUAUAUUAUUUCUUACAUGGAAUACUAUGAAAAAAAAAAAGAAUAUACACAUACAUUAGCUUGUUGUUAGGCAAGUUUAUAAAAAUUGGAGGAUUGAUAUUCAAAUAGAUGUAAGAAUGAAGAAGAGUAGAAAAGGCAUUCUCUUGUGUCAGAGUGACAAAAUACUGUCUCAAUAAAGAGAUAUAUUACAUCUUAAGUAUAAUCAACAUUAAAGCACUCUGUAAUGAUGAAGAGAUUGAAUGCAUGGAUUUUCCCCCUGGAGUUGUAGCUAUUCCACCCCAGAUGCAUGUAGCACCCAGUGGGUUUCAAUGCAUAAUGGGAAGAUUUAAAGCUUUGGAGCCAUUUAUAUCUGGAUUCAAAUCCUAUCUCUGAAACUUCCAGUUGAAUGAUCUUAGACUAGUUGUUUAAUCUUUCUGAGUCUCUUUUUUUCCAUCAAAGUUCAGACAAUCAUACAUAUACUCCAGAAUGCUCCUUAAAGAUUAAGUAACUAAUAGAAAUCAAAGAGUUUGUUGCAUAAGGUAGGCAAUCAACAAAAUGUCAUUCCUGUCUUUCAAUUAUUUUCCUUAGAGAAUUUUAUGUAUCUCCAUAGUGGCUUUUGCCUGUUAGUAGUUAAGCCAGGUAAUUAAGAUUAAUUUACAGAUGGAACUAAUUUCCAAAUAAUUUCUUUAAUAUAGAAGUUUUCUUUUCUUUUUUUUUUUUUAAAGAUUUUAUUUAUUUAUUCAUGAGAGACACAGAGAGAGAGAGAGAGAGAGAGAGAGGCAGACACACAGGCAGAGGGACAAGCAGGCUCCAUGCAGGGAGCCCGACGUGGGACUCGAUGCCCGGUCUCCAGGAUCACGCCCUAGGCCGAAGGCAGUGCUAAACUGCUGAGCUACCCGGGCUGCCCAUAGUAUAGAAAUUUUCAAAUUCUAAUGAAUAUCAGAAUCCCCUGGAGGGCUUGUCAAACCAUUAGUUCCCAGACCCCAUCAUCAGAAUGUUUGAUUUAGGUGGUUUGAGUAGGCCCAUGAGUUUGUAUUUUUCAAAAGUUAUGCUGGGGCACCUAGGUGGCACAGUCAGGUAAGCCUCUGACUCUUGGUUUCAGCUCAGGCUAUGUUCUAAUGUUUGUGAGAUCAAGUCCUGCAUGGGGCUCCACCUUCAGUGCAGAGACUGCUUGAGUUUCUCUCUCCCUCUCUCUCUGUCCCUCCCUGCCUCAAAUAAAUAAAUCUUUAAAUACAUUUUUAUAAAAGUUAUGUUGAUGUUGCUGGUUGAGGACCACACUUUGAGAACUGAUACUAUAUGUUCAACCAUUAAAAUGAUGAUUGGCAAAAAGAAAAAGAGAGGAAAGGCCACAUUUCCCACAGUGAUAUUUACUCUAUCCUAAACUAUAAAUAUAUUCAUUAUAAGAGUCAACAUGAUCCUGUAGAUGGGGAGUCAGUACAACCAGAUACGUCCCUCUCUCAGCAUAUGACCUAGGGCAUGUCACUUCAUUAAAUUUGGCUCCAGUUUCUCCAACUUAAAAUUUAAAGGACUAGAGUAGGUCAAUGUCUUUCUUUUAUUUAUUUAUUUAUUUUUAAAACUGUGUUCUUUAAGCAUGUGGGGAGGAAGUCUUCAGAAUAAACCCAGGGAUGCAUUGGUGGUAGAGUUGAACAGACAAGAAUUUGAGCUUUUCCUAUCCCCAAGUAGAUCAGCUCUUCUUAUAUAACUUUUAUAUAUAGUAUAGAUUCACAUAAAACAAAACAGAAAAAAAAAAAUCAAAUAAAAAUUCAAACAAAUAAUCCAGUCUGAGAAAAACUUUGUGGUAGAUCAUAUCUGUGAUCACUUUUACAUUAGUUUUCACAGAUAUUAAGCUCCAUAUAUAGAACACUCUGUACUUCCAGUUUUCUGUACUUAUAAUGAUAAUCAAUAGUGAUAAAACCCAAGACACUGCAAAUCUUCAAACUUCAAGCUAUCUUCAGGGUACUUUUUAGUGUUAAUAUUUUUUCUAUCUAAUUAUUUGAAAACAGAUAAGCCAUCCUUAUUCCCUGUGAUGACACUAUUAAUCAAUAUAUCCAUACACUACUCUGAUUAAUAGUCCAGGCAAUUCCAUGAUACAGUUAACAGUUCUGAGUGUUUCCUCUGUGCUACAUAGUAUACUAAGAGCUUAAAAUGUAUUACCUAUUUCAAUCUUUGGAAAAACCGUUUUAAAUGAUAUCAUUAUUCCCUAUCAGUUACAAAUGUAGCAUCUGUAGCAAAGAGUCACAGCUGGUAAAAGAUGAGGACAGAUAUAAUUCUAAAUCUACUUGUCUCUAAAGUUUAUGCUCUAUUUAUGCUAGAAAAAGAUCAAAUACUCAAGUAGUUAUCAAAUGUGUCAAUCGAAACAUGUAAAUAAAUCUCUAAUACAAAAAAUAAUUUAAAAGAACAAAGAUACUAUAUCCCUAUGUGAGAGGAGCCCUUUCAUACAGUGAAUAAAAAGGAGGAUUUAAAUGGUUUGCCCAGAAUCAUAGAGGCCGUCUCAUGUAUCAUAAAAAUCAUUACUUUAUUUUAUUAUUUAUUUGAUUUUUCAAAGUUUGCAAAUGUUAACUGAAAGGCUUAUGGUUAAGAUAAUGUAAUUAAAACAAACAAAAGCACAAGUUGCCUAAAUGCCAUAGUCAAACGUAGUAACACUUUUGAGUUGGAAGUAUGGUAAGAUUUUGAAGUAGGGAAGGAAAACAUGAAACACUGAAAACCACCAUAGAGCCACCUUCUUGAACUAAUAACCUCUUAAUCAUGGGUACUGACUCCAGAGAUGCUUCAUUUUAAACCUCUUAGUUCUAUGUGAAGAAACCUUUAAUGAAGAUUAGCUCCAUGGGCCAUAAUCUAAAGAGACCUAGAAAGUGAUUUUGUAUAAUCUCUGAGCAGGUCAGUAGACAGAGGAACCCUUUUAAUCCAAAGACAGUCACCCAUCUUCUUAUUAACUGUUCAAGCAAUUUAGAAAAAAAUUAGGGGCCACCCCAAAUCACCUUGAUCACUAUGUCUACUCGAGUUAGAAAUCAGACGAUAUCCCUCUUGAAGUGGUGGUAAUUUGCACUGUAAAUCAGGGUUUUAUAGUUGAUCCUGUUGCUCUUCCUUGGGAUGUUAACUAACUAGGUGCCCUCCACCAAGUGGGCCUAUUCAUCUGUAUUCUGUGGCUGUAUACAUUACCUGUUUGCAGCGAGUAUUUGUGAAGGCUGUGAGAAGGGAUAACCACAAACUUUAUGUAUAAGUUACAAUACAGACAAUCCCUGAUGUAGGAUGGUUUGAAUUAGGAUUUUUUUUUAACUUUAAGAAGGUGUACAAGUAAUACACAUCCAGUAGAAACCAUAUUUUGAAUUUUGAUCUUUUCCUAGGCUAGUGACAUGUGUUAUGAUAUUCUCUCAAGAUGUUACAUAAUGGCAGUGAGCUCGGGCUCCCAGUUGGCCCCAAGAUCACCAGGUACACAACUAACACAUUUACACCAUCCUAUACCCAUAUAACUAUUCCACUUUCCACUUUCACCACAGUAUGAAAUAGGUUACAUAAGGCAUUCAACACUUUAUUAUAAAAUAGAUUUUGUGUUGGAUGAUUUUCCCUUACUGUAAAUGUUCUGAGCAUGUUUAUGAGUGCAUUAGGUUAGAUGUGUUAAAUUUAUUUUCAACUUAAAGAUAUUUUCAACAUAUAAUGGAUUUAUCCAGACAUAACAUCAUGGUAAGUAGAGGAAGAUUUGCACUUUUUACAUAUAAAUGAAAACAGGAAUCAUCUUGGUCUCAAUUAUUUCAAUUGAGAAAUUAAAUUUAGUUCAUUGACACAUACAUUAUGUAUUUUUUAAAAAAUUUUCUCAUGGCCUCAUAAUUUAGAAAUCCCAGUGAAAAAUAUUAACUAAGGA